CCUACGGGGGGCAGCAGUGGGGAAUAUUGCGCAAUGGGCGAAAGCCUGACGCAGUGACGUCGCGUGAGGGAUGACGGUCCUCGGAUCGUAAACCUCUGUCAGCAGGGAAGAACGGUCACUGUGCUAAUCAGCAGUGAAUUGACGGUACCUGCAAAGGAAGCACCGGCUAAAUCCGUGCCAGCAGCCGCGGUAAUACGGAGGGUGCGAGAGUUAAUCGGAGUUACUGGGAGUAAAGCGGUCGUAGGCGGUAUGUCAAGUCAAGGGUGAAAUCCCCGGGCUCAACGUGGGAACUGCCUUUGAAACUGGCAAACUGGAGUGUGUGAGAGGAUAGUGGAAUUCCAGGUGGAGGAGUGAAAUCCGUAGAUAUCUGGAGGAACAUCAGUGGCGAAGGCGACUAUCUGGAACAUAACUGACGCUGAGGAGCGAAAGCGUGGGUAGCAAACAGGAUUAGAUACCCUAGUAGUC
rnacentral:rRNA from 1 species